GAUGAACGCUGGCGGCGUGCUUAACACAUGCAAGUCGAACGGAAAGGCUCCUGCUUGCAGGGGUACUCGAGUGGCGAACGGGUGAGUAACACGUGGGUGAUCUGCCCUGCACUUCGGGAUAAGCCUGGGAAACUGGGUCUAAUACCGGAUAGGACGAUGGUUUGGUUGCCAUUGUGGAAAGUUUUUCGGUGUGGGAUGAGCUCGCGGCCUAUCAGCUUGUUGGUGGGGUAAUGGCCUACCAAGGCGUCGACGGGUAGCCGGCCUGGGAGGGUGUACGGCCAAAUUGGACGUGGAAUACGGCCAAGACCCCUCCGGGGGGAGAGGGGGGGGAAUGUUGCCAAAGGGGGGCAAGCCUGAUGCAGCAACCCCGGGGGGGGGAGGCCGGCCUUCGGGUUGAAAACCCCUUUCGCUAGGGACGAAGCGCAAGUGGCGGAACCGGGAAAAAAAGCCCCGGCUAACUACGG
rnacentral:rRNA from 1 species